rnacentral:rRNA from 1 species
GACGAACGCUGGCGGCGUGCUUAACACAUGCAAGUCGAACGAAGUGGCGAACGGGUGAGUAACGCGUAAUCAACCUGCCCUUCAGCGGGGGACAACAGUUGGAAACGACUGCUAAUACCGCAUACUGAAGGAGGGGAUUGCGUCUGAUUUGCUAGUUGGCGGGGUAACGGCCCACCAAGGCGAUGACCAGUAGCCGGGCUGGGGGGAUGAACGGACAAAGUAGGACUGAGACACGACCCAGACUCCUACGGGAGACAGCAGUGGGGAAUCUUCCGCAAUGGACGAAAGUCGGACGAAGAAAAGCCGCGUGAGUGAUGACGGCCGGCGGGUUGUAAAGCUCUGUUAAUCGGGACGCGGUACCGGAAUAGAAAGCCACGGCUAACUACGUGCCAGCCGCCGCGGUAAUUC